GUGAAGCAGAUUGCCUUCCAUAUUUUGGGUGUGGGCCUCAUCUAAUCAGUUGAAGGCCUGAUUAGAAGAAAAGGCUGAGCUCCCCUGAGACAGAGGGAAUUCCACAGGAGAUGGCUUUUAAACCAUUUUUUUUUCUUUUGACCACAAUGCAUUUCAUGCGGAAUCUUAGUUCCCCGACUAGGGAUUUGACCCAUGGCCCCUGCAGUGGAAGUGCAGAGUCCUAACCACUGGACUGCCAAGGAAUUUCCAUCCAUAGGAGAUGGCUUUUAGAAGUGAACUACAACAUUGGCUCCUCUCCGCGUCUCUAGCCUGCUGGCCCACCCUGCAGAUUUUGGACUUGCCUGUCUCCAUAAUCACGUUGUUUGGCUUCCAUGAGAUGAAGCAGAUUCUGAUGUGGCUCAUCUUAUCCCUUGAAUGAUCAAAGACAGAGAAGGAAACCAGGAGGUUGAAAAAGAGCCCCGGAGACAGCCUAGGUUAAAUCCAACUUGUGACAUACUUGGUGUCUACACCUGUGCAGUUGAACAUCACAGGAGAAACACACACAGCUGCACAAGUCUACUUCGGCUUUGGACCAGAAAAAAACAAUGUGAUAUUAUUUUUCCUCUUCUCUGGAAUAUUCAGUUUCCGUUCUCAUGAAUUAUAAUUUA